UGCUGGAGGUAUCAGAAGUGCGAAUGCUGACAUAAGUAACGAUAAAGCGGGUGAAAAGCCCGCUCGCCGGAAGACCAAGGGUUCCUGUCCAACGUUAAUCGGGGCAGGGUGAGUCGACCCCUAAGGCGAGGCCGAAAGGCGUAGUCGAUGGGAAACGGGUUAAUAUUCCCGUACUUGGUGUUACUGCGAAGGGGGGACGGAGAAGGCUAUGUUGGCCGGGCGACGGUUGUCCCGGUUUAAGCGUGUA
rnacentral:rRNA from 1 species